rnacentral:rRNA from 1 species
UGACGGGGCCGCACAAGCGGAGGAGCAUGUGGUUAAUUCGAUGAUACGCGAGGAACCUUACCUGGGCUCGAACGUAAGAUGACUGUAGGUGAAAGCUUACAUCUCUUCGGAGCAUUUUACGAGGUGCUGCAUGGUUGUCGUCAGCUCGUGCCGUGAGGUGUCGGGUUAAGUCCCAUAACGAGCGCAACCCCUACCUUUAGUUGCCAUCAGGUUAAGCUGGGGACUCUAAAGGAACUGCCUACGCAAGUAGUGAGGAAGGCGGGGAUGACGUCAAAUCAGCACGGCCCUUACGUCCAGGGCUACACACGUGCUACAAUGGCCGAUACAGAGGGCAGCUACCUGGUGACAGGAUGCAAAUCUCCAAAGUCGGUCUCAGUUCGGAUCGGAGUCUGCAACCCGACUCCGUGAAGUUGGAUUCGCUAGUAAUCGCGCAUCAGCCAUGGCGCGGUGAAUACGUUCCCGGGCCUU